rnacentral:rRNA from 1 species
GACCUGCAUGCGGCAGCUACCAUGCAGUCGAGCGGUAACAGGGGUAGCUUGCUACCCGCUGACGAGCGGCGGACGGGUGAGUAAUGCAUAGGAAUCUGCCCGAUAGUGGGGGAUAACCUGGGGAAACCCAGGCUAAUACCGCAUACGUCCUACGGGAGAAAGGGGGCUCCGGCUCCCGCUAUUGGAUGAGCCUAUGUCGGAUUAGCUAGUUGGUGAGGUAAUGGCUUACCAAGGCAACGAUCCGUAGCUGGUCUGAGAGGAUGAUCAGCCACAUCGGGACUGAGACACGGCCCGAACUCCUACGGGAGGCAGCAGUGGGGAAUAUUGGACAAUGGGGGCAACCCUGAUCCAGCCAUGCCGCGUGUGUGAAGAAGGCCCUCGGGUUGUAAAGCACUUUCAGCGAGGAAGAACGCCUAUCGGUUAAUACCCGGUAGGAAAGACAUCACUCGCAGAAGAAGCACCGGCUAACUCCGUGCCAGCAGCCGCGGUAAUACGGAGGGUGCAAGCGUUAAUCGGAAUUACUGGGCGUAAAGCGCGCGUAGGUGGCUUGAUAAGCCGGUUGUGAAAGCCCCGGGCUCAACCUGGGAACGGCAUCCGGAACUGUCAGGCUAGAGUGCAGGAGAGGAAGGUAGAAUUCCCGGUGUAGCGGUGAAAUGCGUAGAGAUCGGGAGGAAUACCAGUGGCGAAGGCGGCCUUCUGGACUGACACUGACACUGAGGUGCGAAAGCGUGGGUAGCAAACAGGAUUAGAUACCCUGGUAGUCCACGCCGUAAACGAUGUCGACCAGCCGUUGGGUGCCUAGAGCACUUUGUGGCGAAGUUAACGCGAUAAGUCGACCGCCUGGGGAGUACGGCCGCAAGGUUAAAACUCAAAUGAAUUGACGGGGGCCCGCACAAGCGGUGGAGCAUGUGGUUUAAUUCGAUGCAACGCGAAGAACCUUACCUACCCUUGACAUCUACAGAAGCCGGAAGAGAUUCUGGUGUGCCUUCGGGAACUGUAAGACAGGUGCUGCAUGGCUGUCGUCAGCUCGUGUGUGAAAUGUAGGCUUAA